GGGUGGGUGGCGAAACUGGCAGACGCGCCAGACUUAGGAUCUGGUGGGGCAACCCAUGGAGGUUCAAGUCCUCUCCUACCCA
rnacentral:tRNA from 1 species